GACGAACGCUGGCGGCGUGCUUAACACAUGCAAGUCGAACGGAAAGGCCCGGCUUUUGUGGGGUGCUCGAGUGGCGAACGGGUGAGUAACACGUGUGUAACCUCCCCUUGACUUUGGGAUAACUUCAGGAAACUGGGGCUAAUACCGGAUAGGAUCUCCUGCUGCAUGUUGGGGGUUGGAAAGUUUCGGCGGUUGGGGAUGGACUCGCGGCUUAUCAGCUUGUUGGUGGGGUAGUGGCUUACCAAGGGUUUGACGGGUAGCCGGCCUUGGAGGGGGACCGGCGACAAUGGGACUGAGAUACGGACCAGACGGCUACGGGAGGCAGCAGUGGGGAAUAUUGCACAAUGGGCGGAAGCCUGAUGCAGCAACGCCGCGUGCGGGAUGACGGCCUUCGGGUUGUAAACCGCUUUCGACUGUGACGAAGCGUGAGUGACGGUAAUGGGUAAAGAAGCACCGGCUAACUACGUG
rnacentral:rRNA from 1 species